GGAGGGUGCGAGCGUUAAUCGGAAUUACUGGGCGUAAAGCGCACGCAGGCGGUUUGUUAAGCUAGAUGUGAAAGCCCCGGGCUCAACCUGGGAUGGUCAUUUAGAACUGGCAGACUAGAGUCUUGGAGAGGGGAGUGGAAUUCCAGGUGUAGCGGUGAAAUGCGUAGAUAUCUGGAGGAACAUCAGUGGCGAAGGCGACUCCCUGGCCAAAGACUGACGCUCAUGUGCGAAAGUGUGGGUAGCGAACAGGAUUAGAUACCCUGGUAGUCCACACCGUAAACGCUGUCUACUAGCUGUGUGUGCCUUUAAGGCGUGCGUAGCGAAGCUAACGCGCUAAGUAGACCGCCUGGGGAGUACGGCCGCAAGGUUAAAACUCAAAUGAAUUGACGGGGGCCCGCACAAGCGGUGGAGCAUGUGGUUUAAUUCGAUGCAACGCGAAGAACCUUACCUACACUUGACAUGCUGAGAAGUUACUAGAGAUAGUUUCGUGCCUUCGGGAACUCAGACACAGGUGCUGCAUGGCUGUCGUCAGCUCGUGUCGUGAGAUGUUGGGUUAAGUC
rnacentral:rRNA from 1 species